rnacentral:rRNA from 1 species
UACGUAGGGGGCGAGCGUUACCCGGAUUUACUGGGCGUAAAGCGCGUGUAGGCGGCUGGUCAAGCGUGGUGUGAAAUCUCCGGGCUCAACCCGGAAACUGCAUUGCGAACUGACCUAGCUGGAGUGCAGGAGAGGGCAGCGGAAUUCCCGGUGUAGCGGUGAAAUGCGUAGAUAUCGGGAAGAACACCAGUGGCGAAGGCGGCUGCCUGGCCUGUAACUGACGCUGAGACGGCGGAAAAGCGUGGGGAGCGAACCGG